rnacentral:rRNA from 1 species
AAACCAACAGGGAUUGCCUCAGUAACGGCGAGUGAAGCGGCAAAAGCUCAAAUUUGAAAUCUAGUACCUUUGGUGCUCGAGUUGUAAUUUGAAGAUAUUUCUUUGGAGUUGGCCCUUGUCUAUGUUCCUUGGAACAGGACGUCAUAGAGGGUGAGAAUCCCGUCUGAUGGGGUGUCCAACUCUUUGUAAAGUUUUAUCGAAGAGUCGAGUUGUUUGGGAAUGCAGCUCUAAGUGGGUGGUAAAUUCCAUCUAAAGCUAAAUAUUGGCGAGAGACCGAUAGCGAACAAGUACAGUGAUGGAAAGAUGAAAAGAACUUUGAAAAGAGAGUGAAAAAGUACGUGAAAUUGUUGAAAGGGAAGGAUAUUAGAUCAGACUUGGUGUUUUACGAUUAUCUUCCCUUCUUGGGUUGUGCACUCGUGCUACACUGGGCCAGCAUCGAUUCGGACGGUAAGAUAAUGACUUAGGAACGUGGCACUCCUUCGGGGGUGUGUUAUAGCCUGUGUUGAUGUUGCCUGUCUGGAUCGAGGACUGCGUCUUUUGACUAGGAUGUUGGCGUAAUGAUCUAAUAUCGC